UGACGGUACCUUAGGAGGAAGCCCCGGCUAACUACGUGCCAGCAGCCGCGGUAAUACGUAGGGGGCGAGCGUUGUCCGGAAUGACUGGGCGUAAAGGGCGUGUAGGCGGCCUGUUAAGUUAGGAGUGAAAGUCCCGCUUUCAAGGUGGGAACUGCUUUUAAUACUGAUGGGCUUGAGUGCAGAAGAGGUAAGUGGAAUUCCCAGUGUAGCGGUGAAAUGCGUAGAGAUUGGGAGGAACACCAGUGGCGAAGGCGGCUUACUGGACGGUAACUGACGUUGAGGCUCGAAAGCGUGGGGAGCAAACAGGAUUAGAUACCCUG
rnacentral:rRNA from 1 species